rnacentral:rRNA from 1 species
GGAAACUGGACCGACCCUUCGGGGAGCUUGUACAGGUGCUGCAUGGCUGUCGUCAGCUCGUGUCGUGAGAUGUUCGGUUAAGUCCGCUAACGAGCGCAACCCUCGCUGUGUGUUACAAGUGUCACACGGAACUGCCGGUCAUAAACCGGAGGAAGUGGGAUGACGUCAAGUCAGCAUGGCCUUUAUAUCCUGGGCUACACACACGCUACAAUGGGAAGGGACAAUAGGUUGCGAAGCCGCGAGGCGGAGCCAAUCCAGCAAAACUUCCCUCAGUUCAGAUUGCAGGCUGCAACCCGCCUGCAUGAAGUUGGAGUUGCUAGUAAACGCAGGUCAGCCAUACUGCGUUGAAUACGUUCCCGGGGCUU